ACAUGAUUAGUACUUUGUCAUUUACGUCUGCUUAUGACCGUUAUGACCAUUAAAAAGGAAUUUUUACUUUCAUUUAAAGUGCUCCCGUUCAUUUUUAAACUAAUUGUUCAUACUUAAACUUAUACAUAUAUAUAUACAUAUACAUAUAUAUUUCAUUUACAUUGUAAUAAAAUGUAUCGGAGUAUCAAAUCAUAACAUGGUCAUUUAUAAUUCGUUGUGUUGGUGAAAUUCUACAUUAACUUCCUGUGCAUGGCGAUGCCUAACGAGCGUCAUUCAUCGUUUUGAGAGAGUGUAGUAGUUAAAUAAGCUUUUGCAAUUUUUUAAAUUUUGUGUGCAUCUGUUUAUUAAAAAGAAAAAAAGAAUAGUUUUAAAGUAUCCACAAAUAAAUUCUUAUAAACAUUUAGAAGCAAUUUUAGGGUGCACAAGCCUUCAAGGUAGGGGUGCAAAGACCCCAAGUGUUGAAAAAUGAUCAACAUGGAGACAGAUAAAAUUCUCGAAGAUACGAAUACAAAUAAUCCGUCUCGUAAAACUGGGUAAUUUAUACUGUCCACAGUACAUAAAAGAAUUUGCUUGAACAAGUGAGGCCAAGAACCACAAAAUUUAUAUUAUAGUAUUCAAUGACGAUAUUGUAUGAUCCCAGUCGUAAAAAAGAGCCAUUAUCUCAAACAAUGAAUCUUACAACCCAAUAUACUCAAGAACGGGAAAUGUGCAUGAAAUAUUUUGAAAGAUGGAGUGAACCAGAGCAAGUUCAUUUUGUAGAACA